GACGAACGCUGGCGGCGUGCUUAACACAUGUAAGUCGAACGGAAAGGCCUGCUUUCCCUUGUGGAUUGCGGGUACUCGAGUGGCGAACGGGUGAGUAACACGUGAGUGAUCUGCCCCCAACUUGGGUAUAAGCCUGGGAAACUGGGUCUAAUUCCCGAUAGGACUGCAGGGUGGUGCCUGUGGUGGAAAACGAUUUUCUAGUGGUUGGGGAUGAGCUCGCGGCCUAUCAGCUUGUUGGUGGGGUAAUGGCCUACCAAGGCGGCGACGGGUAGCCGGCCUGAGAGGGUGGACGGCCACAUUGGGACUGAGAUACGGCCCAGACUCCUACGGGAGGCAGCAGUGGGGAAUAUUGCACAAUGGGCGGAAGCCUGAUGCAGCGACGCCGCGUGGGGGAUGACGGCCUUCGGGUUGUAAACUCCUUUCGACCGCGAGGAAGCCACCUGGUUGGAAGGGUGGUGACGGUAGUGGUAGAAGAAGCACCGGCUAACUACGUG
rnacentral:rRNA from 1 species